GCCUGGGUGGCUCAGUCAGUUAAGCAUCCGACUUCGGCUCAGGUCAUGAUCUCACGGUCCGUGAGUUCGAGCCCCGCCUCGGGCU
rnacentral:tRNA from 1 species